AUUAUGCACUUAGUGUUAGGCAUUUAUGGAUUUAUGUUAUGCUCCAAGAAUUUCUGUCACAUCUGGGUGAAUACCAAAAAAUCUCAUAUUAACGAUAAUAAGCUGCUGCCUGUCACCAUUCAUUCCAAGUCUUUAUGGAAAUCAAUUACUAGGUUGGAACACAAAUAACAGAAAUGAACGAAAUGCAAUGCUACAAUCAAUCGCAAAUUCGAAUUAUACCUAAUGAAAGUUAGUCACACUUUUAACGACUACAUUGAAGAUCGCAUGUUAUUAGGUUUUGCGUCUGUAUCAAUUUACUGUACCGUACACAAUGAUCCGCUGCCUACAGGAGGACUACUUUUCAAACAUCAAAAAUCCUAAUGUAAUUUACUUCUACACUACUGCGUGCAUCGGAGAUUUCGUAUUUAAGAAAGCAAGCAGAAAUCAAUAUCAAUGUAUGAUUU